UACUUUUGUGAGUUUUGGCUUUUCACCACUGAAGUUUGUUUUCUUAGAUUUUUUCCCCACAUGUAUGGAAGUAAAAAGGAAAAUACUAGAAUAGAUAUGCAGAACAUAGAGCGAACGAUCCAUACAUAAAGGAGAGAAUCUGGAGGGGGGCACGGUGGACCACCGGUGAUCGUUUCCCCUGGUCACUUAAACCUAGAUUAGCCGGCUGUGGCUUCUAGAAAAAAAAGGCAACAUGUUGGUGCCAUGCCUCCGGCGGCAGCAACAACGGGCGGAGAUAGCCAUGUUUUGGAGUAGAAUAGGCGGUCAUGAAAGUUCAGGAUCACAGUAGAAGAUCUGGUUGCAUCCGUGUGUCAUGAGAUUGCGGAUUGAGUUUCCGACAAGUCGGCUAGGGUUCCGGCGAGAUUCCGAUUACCCGAUUCAGUAUAGGAACGCAUUAUUGUUGUUCGGCUCGAGAUUGAACCAUGUGUACGAAUAGCUUCAACCGUUAGGUCUAAAAUAUGGAAAAAUUGCAGUGUGAUAUGUUCGGCUCGAGAUUGAACCAUGUGUACGAAUAGCUUCAACCGUUAGGGUGAUAUUAAUUUGGGAAAUGUUACUUUUAAUCAUACACCAUGACAAGUUGGGGGUGAUAUGCAGCAUUUGCAUAAAAGGAAAAACGUCAUGUCCAAAGUCAUUCAAAGUGUAUUUUAAUCCAUAAUACCUCCUAUAUUUUUAUAUUCAAAACGUCAUACUAUUAUUGAAAAAAAAAAAUUAACUUUGGACUCGGAUCUGACACUUAUUUUUUUGUAAAAAAGGUGGGGCGAAAACGUUUCAGGUCAACCAACCCGACCGACCGAGCUAGAUGCAAUGGGUGCUCUUAUAUAUGUAGACAACAGGCUGAAUGCAAUGGGCGUGCGGGUUGCUGGUCAAUUUUGUGGAUCUGAUUCUGUCACUUUUUUUUUUGUGUUGUUUGCAGGUUUUAAUUGAGUUGGUAGUGGUGUUGAUUUUGAGUUUGUUUGUUGGAUUGAUGGUGCCAGGAAAUUUCCGGUCAAUUUUACCGGAUUCUGAUGAGAAUAGGUACUUAUUAUGUAUAAUUGAGCAUUCCAUUUAAUCUUUGAAACAUAUUUGUUGAAAUAGACACAUUCUACAAGGUUCCAAUUUGCUACAUAGAAAUCUUAAAAAGAUUACGUCUC